rnacentral:rRNA from 1 species
AUUGUCAGGCUGCAACCCGCCCUGCAUGAAGUCGGAAUUGCUAGUAAUCGCGGAUCAGCAUGCCGCGGUGAAUACGUUCCCGGGCCUUGUACACACCGCCCGUCACACCAUGGGAGCCGGUAAUACCCGAAGUCAGUAGUCCAACCUCGUGAGGACGCUGCCGAAGGUAGGAUUGGCGACUGGGGUGAAGUCGUAACAAGGUAGC